UCGUAACAGUUAUCCCAUCGCCCACACAGGACUCCUCUGUCAUCAUUAGAGUUCACCUGUAGGACCAUGGGCGAAUCUCAAAGGGCACCAACAUUCCAGGAUCCAGACAAAUAGCAACUGAGCCUAAACACCAGAAGCAGCAGCAGCAAUACAGCUGUUUAUGCAGAAUGUCAUUAGGAUGCUACAAUGACACGAAGAAAGGCCAUUUCAGAUGCGGUCUAAAUCCUGGCAGUUGGGAUCUCGACAGGCAGAAGACCGACAGCAGGAUGGGCAGAAUCCAGACGGAUCCCAGAAGUAAGAACUGGCCUCGGAGUUAAGGGCCCCAUACACUACAACGAUAUGUCUGAGGCUGAAGUCGGAUGUAAUUUCUCUUGAACUCCCCCGGGACCUUCCCGGGAGUGAUUCAAUACGAUUUGGUAUUUUGGUGCUAUUUUUGUAUAAGGUAUAUCACAUGCGAUUGAUGAAGCCGCUAUACAUCGCAUGCAAUAUAUCGUAUGGCAUACAAUUGUACCGUGAGAUAUAUAUCUGAUGGGCUGGAUAGAGGGCUACGGGGGCUGGGAGUGUCCUGAGAAUGCCAGUCAAACUUCCCUGUGAUACAUCGCAUGCGAUAUAUCACAAGCACAAAAAACACACUUUUUUGAUCCGAUUCCAUCCAAUUCCGCUAUAUCAUUAGUGCAGCACCAACGACAGACAGCCACGGGGACGCGCAUCAGAUUGGAUACGAUCUAAAACACAUACGAUUGUACACAAUUUCAUACAAUAAAUCAGACGGAUAUAUCGGAAUUGUAUGAAAUCGUGUAAAAUCGUACUAGUGCAUGGGGCCCUUUAGGGUUAGGCACUAGUGGGAAGGUUAGGGUUAGGCUACGGAGGA